GACGAACGCUGGCGGCGUGCUUAACACAUGCAAGUCGAACGGAAAGGCCCUGCUUUUGUGGGGUGCUCGAGUGGCGAACGGGUGAGUAACACGUGAGUAACCUGCCCUUGACUUUGGGAUAACUUCAGGAAACUGGGGCUAAUACCGGAUAGGAGCUCCUGCUGCAUGGUGGGGGUUGGAAAGUUUCGGCGGUUGGGGAUGGACUCGCGGCUUAUCAGCUUGUUGGUGGGGUAGUGGCUUACCAAGGCUUUGACGGGUAGCCGGCCUGAGAGGGUGACCGGCCACAUUGGGACUGAGAUACGGCCCAGACGCCUACGGGAGGCAGCAGUGGGGAAUAUUGCACAAUGGGCGGCAGCCUGAUGCAGCAACGCCGCGUGCGGGAUGACGGCCUUCGGGUUGUAAACCGCUUUCGCCUGUGACGAAGCGUGAGUGACGGUAAUGGGUAAAGAAGCACCGGCUAACUACGUG
rnacentral:rRNA from 1 species